GAUGAACGCUGGCGGCGUGCCUAAUACAUGCAAGUCGAGCGAACGGACGAGAAGCUUGCUUCUCUGAUGUUAGCGGCGGACGGGUGAGUAACACGUGGAUAACCUACCUAUAAGACUGGGAUAACUUCGGGAAACCGGAGCUAAUACCGGAUGAUAUUUUGAACCGCAUGGUUCAAAAGUGAAAGACGGUCUUGCUGUCACUUAUAGAUGGAUCCGCGCUGCAUUAGCUAGUUGGUAAGGUAACGGCUUACCAAGGCAACGAUGCAUAGCCGACCUGAGAGGGUGAUCGGCCACACUGGAACUGAGACACGGUCCAGACUCCUAAGGGAGGCAGCAGUAGGGAAUCUUCCGCAAAGGGCGAAAGCCUGACGGAGCAACGCCGCGUGAGUGAUGAAGGUCUUCGGAUCGUAAAACUCUGUUAUUAGGGAAGAACAUAUGUGUAAGUAACUGUGCACAUCUUGACGGUACCUAAUCAGAAAGCCACGGCUAACUACGUG
rnacentral:rRNA from 1 species